CCUACGGGAGGCAGCAGUGGGGAAUUUUGGACAAUGGGCGCAAGCCUGAUCCAGCAAUGCCGCGUGCAGGAUGAAGGCCUUCGGGUUGUAAACUGCUUUUGUACGGAACGAAACGGCCCUUUCUAAUACAAGGGGCUAAUGACGGUACCGUAAGAAUAAGCACCGGCUAACUACGUGCCAGCAGCCGCGGUAAUACGUAGGGUGCGAGCGUUAAUCGGAAUUACUGGGCGUAAAGCGUGCGCAGGCGGUUAUAUAAGACAGAUGUGAAAUCCCCGGGCUCAACCUGGGACCUGCAUUUGUGACUGUAUAGCUAGAGUACGGUAGAGGGGGAUGGAAUUCCGCGUGUAGCAGUGAAAUGCGUAGAUAUGCGGAGGAACACCGAUGGCGAAGGCAAUCCCCUGGACCUGUACUGACGCUCAUGCACGAAAGCGUGGGGAGCAAACAGGAUUAGAUACCCUGGUAGUCCACGCCCUAAACGAUGUCAACUGGUUGUUGGGUCUUCACUGACUCAGUAACGAAGCUAACGCGUGAAGUUGACCGCCUGGGGGAGGUACGGCCGCGAGUAGUAACGUUAAUAGAGUAGACGGCGUGAGACGUAGCCGACGGACGACGACGAGGGAGGAGG
rnacentral:rRNA from 1 species